CCCAUCGCCGUACAAGGCUGCUGUGGUAGGAUUCUUUGUUUGUUUACAUCAGUAUCAGUUUAUUUUGAAGAGAUUCGAAACCCGAAAUAAGUGGUUUUAGGAGAAAAAAUAUUAGUGUGAAAAGGAAAGAAUUAAAAGCUGGCUAUACAUAACAGCGCAGAAAGCAGAAAACACAAUAUCUUGGUGAUUAUUUAAGUUCUGCAGGGAGGCAUAAAUAAGGAUGAAGUGGCUGAAAAUCCAAUGCAUUUUGGUGGCAGAAUUCGAUAAGGAGAGGAUACCUAAUUGCAUCAAACCCUGUGAUUGGCCAGAAGCUGAAAUGGAAAUACAUCUCCGCUGAGUUGAUAGAUUCCAAGCUAGUACGCGUGCAAAUAUCAGUGAUCCAAGAACAUGUCAAAGAGUAUAAUGAAAAAUUAAAUAAAUUCCUUGGAACUAAAUACAUAAAAA